rnacentral:rRNA from 1 species
CCUACGGGGGGCAGCAGUGGGGAAUAUUGGACAAUGGGCGAAAGCCUGAUCCAGCCAUGCCGCGUGUGUGAAGAAGGCCUUCGGGUUGGAAAGCACUUUCAGUGGGGAAGAAAGCCUUGGGGCUAAUACCCUCGAGGAAGGACAUCACCCACAGAAGAAGCACCGGCUAACUCCGUGCCAGCAGCCGCGGUAAUACGGAGGGUGCGAGCGUUAAUCGGAAUUACUGGGCGUAAAGCGCGCGUAGGCGGUCUGAUAAGCCGGUUGUGAAAGCCCCGGGCUCAACCUGGGAACGGCAUCCGGAACUGUCAGGCUAGAGUGCAGGAGAGGAAGGUAGAAUUCCCGGUGUAGCGGUGAAAUGCGUAGAGAUCGGGAGGAAUACCAGUGGCGAAGGCGGCCUUCUGGACUGACACUGACGCUGAGGUGCGAAAGCGUGGGUAGCAAACAGGAUUAGAUACCCUGGUAGUC